GAUGAACGCUGGCGGCGUGCCUAACACAUGCAAGUCGAACGGAAAGGCCCUGCUCUUGCGGGGUGCACGAGUGGGGAACGGGUGAGUAAAACGCGAGUAACCUGCCCUUGUCAGUGGGAUAACUCCAGGAGACUCGGGCUCAAAUCGGAGAGGAGCUCCUGCUGCACGGUGGGGGUUGGAAAGAUUCGGCGGUGGGGGAUGGUCUCGCGGCUUAUCAGCUUGUUGGGGGGGUAGUGGCUUACCAAGGCUUUGACGGGUAGCCGGCCUGAGAGGGUGACCGGCCACAUUGGGACUGCGGUACGGCCCAGACUCCUACGGGCGGCAGCAGUGGGGAAUAUUGCGCAAUGGGCGGAAGCCUGAUGCAGCGACGCCGCGUGCGGGAUGACGGCCUUCGGGUUAUAAACCGCUUUCGCCUGUGACGAAGCGUGAGUGACGGUAAUGGGUAAAGAAGCACCGGCUAACUACGUG
rnacentral:rRNA from 1 species